UGGGGAAUAUUGCACAAUGGGCGAAAGCCUGAUGCAGCAACGCCGCGUGAGCGAUGAAGGCCUUCGGGUCGUAAAGCUCUGUCCUCAAGGAAGAUAAUGACGGUACUUGAGGAGGAAGCCCCGGCUAACUACGUGCCAGCAGCCGCGGUAAUACGUAGGGGGCUAGCGUUAUCCGGAAUUACUGGGCGUAAAGGGUGCGUAGGUGGUUUCUUAAGUCAGAGGUGAAAGGCUACGGCUCAACCGUAGUAAGCCUUUGAAACUGGGAAACUUGAGUGCAGGAGAGGAGAGUGGAAUUCCUAGUGUAGCGGUGAAAUGCGUAGAUAUUAGGAGGAACACCAGUUGCGAAGGCAGCUUACUGGGAUACAACUGACGCUGAGGCACGAAAGCGUGGGGAUCAAACA
rnacentral:rRNA from 1 species